rnacentral:rRNA from 1 species
AGAGUUUGAUCUGGCUCAGGAUGAACGCUAGCGGGAGGCUAACACAUGCAAGUCGAACGGGAUUGGGAGCUUGCUCCCAUGAGAGUGGCGCACGGGUGAGUAACGCGUAUGCAACCUACCUUUAACAGAGGGAUAGCCCAUAGAAAAUGUGGAUUAAUACUUAUAGUUCUUUUUUCUCGCAUGAGGGGGAAGAUAAAGCAUUAGCGGUUAAAGAUGGGCAUGCGUGACAUUAGCUAGUUGGUGAGGUAACGGCUCACCAAGGCGACGAUGUCUAGGGGUUCUGAGAGGAUGAUCCCCCACACUGGUACUGAGACACGGACCAGACUCCUACGGUAGGCAGCAGUAAGGAAUAUUGGUCAAUGGACGCAAGUCUGAACCAGCCAUGCCGCGUGCAGGAAGACGGCCCUAUGGGUUGUAAACUGCUUUUAUACGCCAAGAAAAACACAGACGAGUCUGUGCCUGACGGUA